ensembl:lncRNA uncharacterized LOC114480875
AUCGGACAUUAUCUUGUCCUUACUGCCUGCUUGACACCAAGAACUCAAGGCAAGUACAGCACUUUUAUUUGUGUAAAGAGGUAGACUAAGAUAAAAACUUAGUAAAAUUAAAGCAGUUGUUGAUUUCUUUUUUCAAUCAGAAAAUGGUGAUCCGUAAACUGUUGGUGGUCUUUGCUCUGGUGACUCUAAUCAAUGCAGCACCGACACAAAACAGUGCUACACAAAAUGAAGAUCACUCCAGUCAGCAUGAUGAAGUCACUCAAGAAUUUUGGAAGCGUGUCUUUAAGAUUGCUGACCAUGUGUUAGGACAGCUUAGAAAUUCAGAAAAUGAUGAAGCAGCUCAAGAGUUUACGAAAAGUAUUAAAGACAUUAGUAAAUAUGUAUUAGAACAUGACGAAAACAUCUUGGGACACCUGGCCAAUUCAGAGAAAGAUGAAGCCACUCAAGAGUUCUGGAAACAUCUAUUAAAAAUUGGUGGACACAUCUUGGGACACCUGCUCAAUUCAGAGAAAGAUGAGGCCACUCAAGAGUUCUGGAAACAUCUAUUAAAGAUUGGCAGUCACAUCUUGGGACACCUGGCCAAUUCAGAGAAAGAUGAAGCCACUCAAGAGUUCUGGAAACAUCUAUUCAAGAUUGGCAGUCACAUCUUGGGACACCUGAUCAAUUCAGAGAAAGAUGAAGCCACUCAAGAGUUCUGGAAACAUCUAUUAAAAAUUGGUGGACACAUCUUGGGACACCUGCUCAAUUCAGAGAAAGAUGAGGCCACUCAAGAGUUCUGGAAACAUCUAUUAAAGAUUGGCAGUCACAUCUUGGGACACCUGGUCAAUUCAGAGAAAGAUGAAGCCACUCAAGAGUUCUGGAAACAUCUAUUAAAAAUUGGUGGACACAUCUUGGGACACCUGCUCAAUUCAGAGAAAGAUGAGGCCACUCAAGAGUUCUGGAAACAUCUAUUAAAGAUUGGCGGACACAUCUUGGGACACCUGCUCAAUUCAGAGAAAGAUGAAGCCACUCAAGAGUUCUGGAAACAUCUAUUCAAGAUUGGCAGUCACAUCUUGGGACACCUGGUCAAUUCAGAGAAAGAUGAAGCCACUCAAGAGUUCUGGAAACAUCUAUUCAAGAUUGGCAGUCACAUCUUGGGACACCUGGUCAAUUCAGAGAAAGAUGAAGCCACUCAAGAGUUCUGGAAACAUCUAUUAAAAAUUGGUGGACACAUCUUGGGACACCUGCUCAAUUCAGAGAAAGAUGAGGCCACUCAAGAGUUCUGGAAACAUCUAUUAAAGAUUGGCGGACACAUCUUGGGACACCUGGUCAAUUCAGAGAAAGAUGAAGCCACUCAAGAGUUCUGGAAACAUCUAUUAAAAAUUAGUGGACACAUCUUGGGACACUUGGCCAAUUCAGAGAAAGAUGAAGCCACUCAAGAGUUCUGGAAACAUCUAUUAAAGAUUGGCGGACACAUCUUGGGACACCUGCUCAAUUCAGAGAAAGAUGAAGCCACUCAAGAGUUCUGGAAACAUCUAUUCAAGAUUGGCAGUCACAUCUUGGGACACCUGGUCAAUUCAGAGAAAGAUGAAGCCACUCAAAAGUUCUGGAAACAUCCAUUAAAAAUUGGUGGACACAUGAUGUUGGAAAACCUGCUCUAUUUAGAGAAAGAUGAGGCCACUCAAGAGUUCUGGAAACAUCUAUUAAAGAUUGGCAGUCACAUCUUGGGACACCUGGCCAAUUCAGAGAAAGAUGAAGCCACUCAAGAGUUCUGGAAACAUCUAUUAAAGAUUGGCGGACACAUCUUGGGACACCUGCUCAAUUCAGAGAAAGAUGAGGCCACUCAAGAGUUCUGGAAACAUCUAUUAAAGAUUGGCAGUCACAUCUUGGGACACCUGGUCAAUUCAGAGAAAGAUGAAGCCACUCAAAAGUUCUGGAAACAUCCAUUAAAAAUUGGUGGACACAUGAUGUUGGAAAACCUGCUCUAUUCAGAGAAAGAUGAGGCCACUCAAGAGUUCUGGAAACAUCUAUUAAAGAUUGGCAGUCACAUCUUGGGACACCUGGCCAAUUCAGAGAAAGAUGAAGCCACUCAAGAGUUCUGGAAACAUCUAUUAAAGAUUGGCGGACACAUCUUGGGACACCUGCUCAAUUCAGAGAAAGAUGAAGCCACUCAACAUAAUGGAUGGCAUCACCACAUUCUUAAGCAAGGUUAAUAUGAGGAUAAGUACACAACAUCAUAGAGAUAAUCAUAACCAUCUUGGCUGUCAAGAAAAUCAUCAGCUUGCUCCUUAAUCCAAUGGUAAUAAGAUUGGUAAUUCUGAAAUGAAAAUAAAAAACAAAAUAAAAAUGCUUAUCA